UACGAAGGGGGCGAGCGUUGUUCGGAAUUACUGGGCGUAAAGGGCGCGUAGGCGGCCCUCUUAGUCGCGUGUGAAAGCCCCGGGCUCAACCUGGGAACGGCGCGCGAAACGGGAGGGCUGGAGUUCGGGAGAGGAGAGUGGAAUUCCCAGUGUAGAGGUGAAAUUCGUAGAUAUCAGGAAGAACACCAAUGGCGAAGGCAGCUCUCUGGGACGGUACUGACGCUGAGACGCGAAAGCGUGGGGAGCGAACAGG
rnacentral:rRNA from 1 species